GUUCUAAUAUAUCUGACAGAGACAGAGGACUGGUGUGCAAUAAGAAAUAUUCAUGAUGUUGAGGUUUUCUUGCAUGUAAACACAGGUGGUUUACAGUAAACAUUUAGUAAUAUAUUGAUUUCUUAACUUUUUUGUUAAAGAAACCAAAAAAAUGGGCAUUUGACAAACAUGUACAUAUAUACAUGUAUAUUUAAUGACUGGUACGUCUACUUAAUGUUAACAGUCAUUUAUCAGAUUGACAUAUAUAUGAAUUAUCACUAUUUGUUGGGUUAUAUUGUUUUUAUGUGAGUGUUUGUUUUAUUAUGCAACGCAAUAAUAGAUUUUAUGAUAUUCACUGUUUAUUUCAUUUAUUCAAGUUUAUCCAUGUGAAAUAAUAUUUGUGUUAACACACCUGUAUUUGUGUGAUGUGAGGGAGAAUUUAUGAAGCAUUGUCAGCUGAUAUGUGUAGUUUUCACCUCAGAUUUAAAUCACAGCGAUAUUUGGGACUUGCACUUUCUUUGCUACUUACAUGUAUUUCGAAGAAAAUAGCUUACUUCUAAAGUCUUUCUAUUUCUAGUCACAUUCCUUCCUCAGAUUUUUGUCUGAGUGAUAUUACAUUUUUUUUGCAAUUAUAAUAAACUUUUGUUUGUAUUGA
rnacentral:misc_RNA from 1 species